UACGUAGGUGGCAAGCGUUGUUCGGAAUUAUUGGGCGUAAAGGGCGCGUAGGCGGCUUGUUAAGUCAGCUGUGAAAGCCCGGGGCUCAACCCCGGAGGGUCAGCUGAUACUGGCUAGCUAGAGUACGGAAGAGGUAGCUGGAAUUCCCGGUGUAGCGGUGAAAUGCGCAGAUAUCAGGAGGAACACCAAUUGCGAAGGCAGCUCGCUGGGACGUUACUGACGCUGAGACGCGAAAGCGUGGGGAGCAAACAGG
rnacentral:rRNA from 1 species